rnacentral:rRNA from 1 species
CCUACGGGGGGCUGCAGUGGGGAAUAUUGGACAAUGGGGGCAACCCUGAUCCAGCCAUGCCGCGUGUGUGAAGAAGGCCCUCGGGUUGUAAAGCACUUUCAGUGAGGAAGAACGCCUGGUGGUUAAUACCCAUCAGGAAAGACAUCACUCACAGAAGAAGCACCGGCUAACUCCGUGCCAGCAGCCGCGGUAAUACGGAGGGUGCGAGCGUUAAUCGGAAUUACUGGGCGUAAAGCGCGCGUAGGUGGCUUGAUAAGCCGGUUGUGAAAGCCCCGGGCUCAACCUGGGAACGGCAUCCGGAACUGUCAAGCUAGAGUGCAGGAGAGGAAGGUAGAAUUCCCGGUGUAGCGGUGAAAUGCGUAGAGAUCGGGAGGAAUACCGGUGGCGAAGGCGGCCUUCUGGACUGACACUGACACUGAGGUGCGAAAGCGUGGGUAGCAAACAGGAUUAGAUACCCGAGUAGUC